rnacentral:rRNA from 1 species
GAUGAACGCUGGCGAGAUGCUUUACACAUGCAAGUCGUACGAGAGUUUUUAAUUCAAGUGGCGGACGGGUGAGUAACACGUAAGAAUUUGCCUUUAGGAGGGGGACAACAAUUGGAAACGAUUGCUAAUACCCCAUAUGCUUUCGAGUGAAAUGGAUUUCUCCGCCUAAAGAGAAGCUUGCGGCUGAUUAGCUUGUGGUAAGUAUGGCUUACCAAGGCGACGAUCAGUACUGGUUUGAGAGGACGAUCAGACACACCUGGAACUGAGACACGGUCCAGACUCCUACGGGAGGCAGCAGUGGGAAUUUUCCGCAAUGGGCAAAGCCUGACGGAGCAAUCUCGCGUGAGGGAUGACGGCCUAUGGGUUG